AGUGACAAUAUUUUUAUAAAUAUAAUUAAUUAAAAUAAGUUUCGUCAAAAACCUAUAAACGCCCUUUUUAUAUAAAUAGUUAAAUAAUUAAAAAAAUCAAAUUCUUAAAAUCUAAAGCGUAGCCUUAAAAUCCUAAAAUAAAAAAAAAAAUUCUAAAACUUAAACCACGGCCCUUACGUUUUGCAUCAUUCGACUUGUCGUCGUGUUCUGCC
rnacentral:lncRNA from 1 species